rnacentral:rRNA from 1 species
UACAGAGGGUGCGAGCGUUAAUCGGAAUUACUGGGCGUAAAGCGUGCGUAGACGGUAGCGUAAGUCGGGUGUGAAAGCCCCGGGCUCAACCUGGGAAUUGCAUUCGAGACUGCUCUGCUAGGGUGCGGAAGAGGGAAGCGGAAUUUCCGGUGUAGCGGUGAAAUGCGUAGAUAUCGGGAGGAACACCAGUGGCGAAGGCGGAUUGCCUGGGGCUUUGCUGACGGCUGAGGAGCGAAAGCGUGGGGAGCGAACGAGGAAUU